rnacentral:rRNA from 1 species
GAUGAACGCUGGCGGCGUGCCUAAUACAUGCAAGUCGAGCGAACGGACGAGAAGCUUGCUUCUCUGAUGUUAGCGGCGGACGGGUGAGUAACACGUGGAUAACCUACCUAUAAGACUGGGAUAACUUCGGGAAACCGGAGCUAAUACCGGAUAAUAUUUUGAACCGCAUGGUUCAAAAGUAAAAGACGGUCUUGCUGUCACUUAUAGAUGGAUCCGCGCUGCAUUAGCUAGUUGGUAAGGUAACGGCUUACCAAGGCAACGAUGCAUAGCCGACCUGAGAGGGUGAUCGGCCACACUGGAACUGAGACACGGUCCAGACUCCUACGGGAGGCAGCAGUAGGGAAUCUUCCGCAAUGGGCGAAUGCCUGACGGAGCAACGCCGCGUGAGUGAUGAAGGUCUUCGGAUCGUAAAACUCUGUUAUUAGGGAAGAACAUAUGUGUAAGUAACUGUGCACAUCUUGACGGUACCUAAUCAGAAAGCCACGGCUAACUCCGUG